rnacentral:ribozyme from 1 species
AAGAAGAGAAGAAAAGAAGAACAAAAAGAGGUAGCCAUUCUAGACCCCUCCCUUACAUUCUAACUCUCCUUUUUUUUUUUUUUUUUUUUUUUUCC